rnacentral:rRNA from 1 species
UACGAAGGGGGCUAGCGUUGCUCGGAAUCACUGGGCGUAAAGCGCACGUAGGCGGCUUUCUAAGUCAGGGGUGAAAUCCUGGAGCUCAACUCCAGAACUGCCUUUGAUACUGGAGAGCUUGAGUCCGGGAGAGGUGAGUGGAACUCCGAGUGUAGAGGUGAAAUUCGUAGAUAUUCGGAAGAACACCAGUGGCGAAGGCGGGUCUCUGGGCCGAUACUGACGCUGAGGAGCGAAAAGCGUGGGGAGCGAACAGG